rnacentral:misc_RNA from 1 species
AGACGGGCAGCAGAUAUGCUAGUGUUGAGAGUAUUACUAGCCGUUGCCUCGGUUCAAGCGAUCUCUUUCGAAGAUGCCAUUGGGUCAUACUGCUGUGAGUAGGCACUUUACUGGAGACUAUGUGCAAUAACGUGAUGCAAUGUAUGUCAUGCGCCGUAGUAGCAAUAUACAUAUAUGCCUAUGUAGAACUUUGACGCUGGCUCACUAAGAAAAAACAGAACUGCAAGACAAAAGCCUGACAGGGAUGAGGAAGGCAUCGAGGAAUUUGUCGCCUGCGUCAUAAAAAAUUUCCCGCCGAAGGUGGGCCGUAAAGUCCAGGAACUGAUGGACUUGUUUGACGGAAUGUCAUUUUUUGAUGCUGUUCAGCUAAUGUGCAAGGCAUCGCUGGAUUCUUCUGCGGCGAUGUUCGAAGACUUUUUGACCAUGCAUUCAGAGAACAGACAGGAAGUUGACAGAAUAAAAGACAAAUUAAUGGAGUGCCACACUAUGGUGUUCAAAGAAUAGACGGCGUGUCUUCUGCUGCCAGCUGUUGUGGUACCCAUGACGGCGAGCAAUACCAUAAUAUUGCUGUUACUAUUGCUGUGAUUGCUUCCUUUUUCACCUCUAUGACUUAGGGAAGCCGGCCCUAAAUGUGGGUCAGUCUUUCCUUCUUUGCCUUUAAGUAAAAAAAAACAAGUUCCGUAAUUUGCAUUUCAAUACAGAAAAUAAUAAACUAAACUCUCUUUUC